rnacentral:rRNA from 1 species
GACGAACGCUGGCGGCGUGCUUAACACAUGCCAGUCGAACGGAACGUCCUCUUUCGGGGGGUACUCGAGUGGCGAACGGGUGAGUAACACGUGAGUAACCUGCCCAUGCCUUUGGGAUAACUUCAGGAAACGGGGGCUACUCCCGGAUAGGAGCUCCUGCUGCACGGUGGGGGUUGUACAGUUUCGGCGGUUGGGGAUGGACUCGCGGCUUAUCAGCUUUUGGGUGGGGUAGUGGCUUACCAAGGCUUUGACGGGUAGCCGGACUGUGAGGGUGACCGGCCACAUUGGGACUGAGAUACGGCAGAGACUCCGACGGGAGGCAGCAGGGGGGAAGAGUGCACGAUGGGUGGAAGCUGGAUGCAGCAACGCCGUGUGCGGGAUGACGGCCUUGGGGUUGAAGAACGCGUUCGCUAGUGACGGAGCAUGGUGUGACGGUAGUGGGUAAAGAAGCACCGGCUAACUACGUG